AUGUGUUUUUUUGUACUUGUGUGUUUUUGCGGCCAUUUUUGGUUUACUUUUGGGAUGCCUGUGACUUUUAUGUCCUCUUGGUGUGAGAGAAUUUGUGUGGUUAGGUGUCCACAUAGUGACUUUGGUGUGGAGCAUCUUUGUCCUUUUGUAACUGGAGCCACAGACAACAUCUUUCAGUUCAGGGUCAGAUUCUGUCCAGAAGUACAGCUCUCCUGCUUUUGGUCGGAUGCAGUGAUUGAGUACGAUGCUGCAGACUUCUCCGACCUCUCUCUGUCUCUGCCAUGCUUGGACGGAGACCUCCAGAAAGGAGUAAAGAAUGGCUGUUGAAUUGAACAUCAUCCAUAAAACAUCUCCAAGGUAGCUUGUCAUUUCCUUUUGUCCCCUUUAUCUUUGUCAGGACAUGACUUACUUUCCUUUUCUUGAAAAUUUUUGCCCUGAUUUUUGUAGCUUCCCUUUUUAGGAACUGUAGAAGCUCCAGACUCCCGCUCCUCACCCCUCCCCGACUUGAGUGGCUCUUAUUGUCAAGUGGUUUUAUUUUUCUUUAUCCUGUCUGUUUAAAAAAUACAAUUUUUCUGAUUAUUAAAGUGAAAAUGAUCAUUUAAAAUAAUUUCAAGAAUACAGACAUCCUAAGCAGGAGAUGUAGCUCAGUGGUAGAGCACUUCCCUACCAUAUGUGAAGCAAUCAAUCCCUAGUGCCAGGGGGAAAAGACAUAGUACAUAAAUCCCUAAAGAAGGAAACAAAUUUUCUAUUACAACUAAUGCUAACUUUUUAAUAUUUCCUUUUCAGUAUAUUGUAUGUUCAUAUAAAAUAUAUUUUUUUAAAAACUGAAUUUGUAUAGAAUUUGCCAUGCAACAUACCCUACAUUUUUUCAUAGAAUUAUAUUUAAGUAUUUUUCCACAAAGUUUACUUUUGAAAAUAUUUUUAGAGAUGCAUAAUAUUUAUUUGAGUGUUUAUUUUCUUCCAAAUUAAAUACAGAAAUGGCAUAAAACAUCCAUUUGUGUAGUUUAACAAAUAAUUAUAAAGAUCCAAGUGAAGAGUAACUAGAUCAAGAAAUAUACCCUUGGCAUUAUGAUAUUUUAAUUUUUGCCAACUUGGUGUGUAUCUAAAAUUAUUAUGUUUAAUUUAUAUUUCUUCUAUUAUUAGUGAAGUUGAGUACCAGUUCUUGGACAUUAGAAUAUCCUCCUUCCUAAAAUGCUUCUUCAAGGGCUAGGGAUUUAGCUCAGCGGCACAGCGCCUGCCUAGCAAGCACAACAUCGUGAGUUCGAUUCCCAGUACCAGAAAAACAAACAAACAAACAAACAAAAAUGCUUCUUCAGAUAUUUUUCCAAUUUUUAUUUGGGUUGUUUUUUCUGACUUACAGCAGUUUAUGUAUACGCAUAAAUAUUUAUGUAGAUACAUGUAAAUGUAUGCAUGCAUGUUUUAUGUAUUAGUGUUUUUCAGUUAUAUGUGUGACAAAUACUUUUUCCUUCUCUGGGUCAAAUUUUCACUACUGUCUUUUGUUGAAGUUCUGAAUUUUAAUGUAAUGAAAUCUUUUCCUCUGAUUAGCACUUAAGAAAUUUUCUUCUACCUUGAGAUAACACGGACUUUCUUUUAUGUUUGCUUCUAAAAGCUUUCUAGUUUCUGUUUUUAACAUUUAGGUCUUUACACCAUCUGAAAUUGGUUUCUGUAGGGUAAGAUUCUAUUUCAUUUUUUUCUUUGUCUGUACCCACUUUUCAUAGUAUCAGUUAUUAAAAAUGAGAUCUUUUCUGCACUGAUAUGCAGUGCUACUUUAAUUAAAAUCCAGGUGAUUUUAUAUAUAUACACAGUCUGCAAACAAAUGUGUACACACUUCAGGAAAAAGAAAACUUGUAUAAAUAUUUUAAUACUAAAUUUACUGAGACAUCAUGAGAUUAAUACAUGUUACCUUUGGCCUCUACAAUUACAGGAGGUGCUCAAAGUGGCCACUAGCUUCCAGAUAUUUAUUAGUACAGCAAACUGUUGCUUGAGUAACCUUGGUCAUUGAGAUUGCUGUAGAUACAUUUUCAAUUUCUUCUCUAACGACUGGAGUAAGGGUUUUCUGUGAUUCAUGACAUUUUCUAGGGUCCCCCAUAUGAGGGUAACACUAUCUUUUGAAAAAACAUCACACUGUAACAUGCAUUUUUUAUUUUUGGUACCAGGAAUCAAACUCACAACCUCACACUUGCCAGGCAAGCGCUCUGCCACUGAGCUAAAUCCCCAGCAACAUGCAUAUUUUUAAAUGCUAUAUUCUGUUCCAUUGGUCUGUUUGUAUCUCCUUGAAGUAAUAUCAUAUUCUGUUGUUCACUGUAACUUUAUACAGUACUUGGAACAAGUCUUUUCACCCUCUUGUUCCUCAAGAAUGCCUUGGAUGUUCAUAUUCCUUUGCUUUUCCAUAGAAAUUUUUGAAUUAGCUUGAUUCCACUGAAAUGUCUCUUGGGGUUUUGACUGUAUAUUUGGGUAGAAAUUUGAGGACUCUUCUAGUACUAUGAACUUCUAAAUUGAUAGAGGUCUUCUUAAUGUUUCUCCACAAGGUAGUGCUUAUUUUCUAUAAAUAGGUCUAGACAGCUAGGAAUGAGAGAAUCUAUUUUACAGUGUAUCUCUUUUUUGUUGACUGUCAGGAAUCCAAACACUUCAGAUAAUGACCAAUCAUAGUAAAAAUUGUACCCUGAGUUUUUUAUAUUAAGUAUUAUGGUGAGUUUUUCUCUUCUAUCCCAUCCAUCUCCUACAUUAAAAUCAGACAUAUUAUACUGGAAUGGUUGUAUACUAUCUUGAACAGCUAGAUUGUAGGAGAAAACACUGUACAAUUCCCCUGUGUGGGUCCACCAGAACAUGAAUUCCAUUAACAUGCCUCAGAUUGUUUCCCCAGAGCACUAACUUAAGCCUGGGUUUGAAUGGAAACAUGGUUUAGUUUCCCUCAUUAUCCUUAUGCUCCAAAGUGUUGGACUUUUGACCUAACUGCUUACUGGUUAACUCUGAAAAGAUAAAACUGGAUGAAUGAUUCUUUCAACAUAGUAUCCUUCCACCCUUAUCUUCUUCAGUUCUUUAUGAAUGACUUUUAAAUUUUCUCAUAUUGUUAGCCUCCUCGCAUACAUUUUGAAAAAUGAAAGACAUGAGAAUUAUAGAUUUAAAUACAGGUAUACAUAUUUAUUGUCUAGUACUUUUAUUUUAAUAAGAUUUUAUCCAGUUAAGUCUCUUUUCUAAGAUACCUUUUACUUUCCUCCCUCUAUUACAUUUUGGCUUUACUCUUUCCUCUCUACCCACUGCUUAGCCCACUAUCCUCUGUCCAGCAGUUCCUGCUUCUAGAACUUCUUUUUUGCCUGUAGAACUUUGCUGUCUUUGCUGUCUGAACUUAAUCUUUUAUUUCAAAUAUUGCCUCAUGGGAAAAAAUUAAUAAAUGAUCUCUCAGAUUAUUUUAUCCACACUCAUCGUCAUGAAAUGUGGUAUAAAGAGCCCAGGCUCUAGUGUAAAAAAAAAUGUUGCUUUUAACCUAAGCUCUACCAUGUGUGAGUUCUUUUACUAGUGAAAGAGAUAACUUUGUCUCAGUGUUGUUGAAAUUGAAAUAAUAUAUGUGUAGACCACUUUGUACACAUCAGUUAUUUGAAAAAUAUUAUCUGCUUUUCUACUUUACUUCUUAUUCUUGGGACCUUUAUAGCAAGUAUAAAGAAUUUGAUUAAAGGCUGGAGAUUUAGCUCAGCGGCACAGCACCUGCCCAGCGAGCGCAAGCUCAUGAGUUCGAUCCCCAGUACUGGAAAAAAAAAAAAAAAAGAAUUUGACUAAAGGCCUUUGUUUUUUUACAUAGGAUCCAAGUUUUGCUCCCUAACUGAAGGAUAAAGAACUUUAGAACCAGGAUUGUGUUUUUUAUUUUGUUAUAUACAUAACUUUUAAAUCCAUGUGAAAUUUGUUUUCUUUUGUAUUAGGGAUCUAAACUCAUUUUUUUUUUCAUUUACCUAACAUUAUGCUAAUACAAUUUCCAAAUAAUUUAUUUCCUUUCCUUUGUGCUGCCUACUUGAUAUAUUAUUGAAAUCAUUUGCUUUAUAUUUUAAUUUUCUUCAGUUCUUUGAUUUGUGCUUUACCAAGCACAAAUUUGAUUGUACUUUUACCAAGUUUGUACCUUUGAUUGUACCUUUACCAAGUUUAUAUUUCUUUGGUUUUGAAAUCUUUUAGUGCCUGAUGAAAUAGAUCAUUUCUUUUUGCAGAUUGUUGUAUUCUUUAUUCCUUUUAUCACAAAAAGAACUUGAAACAAUUUUUAUAUUCUAUUUUUAUCUUAGUUCUUUCCUUUUCUAUAUUCUUUUUGUUGUUGCAAUAUUGAAUUCAAAUUGUUUUUAUUUUUAUUUUUUAUUUUUUGGUACCAAGAAUUGAUCUCAGGGCCUUGUGCUUACCAGGUAGGAACUGUGCCACUGAGCUACAUCCCUGAUCAUUUAAUUUUUUGUAAGAAUUUAAUUCUGUUAAUUAUUCUUUUAUAUGACGUCUUCCAGUCUCCUUUUAAACUCAUUUCUAGGUACUUUGUAUUUCCAUUUGCUGCUUCCACUGCCCAGAGUACUAGGAUUACUGAAAUGUGCCACCACACCCAGCAAGGCAUGUACUUUAUUUAGUUGGCACUCCAUCACAGUCAAUCACAGGUGGAUUCAUUGCAAUUUUACUGCAUACCAUGAAUUUCUAGUACCCUAAGUCCCAGUAGAUGUAACUCCACAAUGUCAAGCCCAAAGGAUUAAGAAGAACAGAACAGCUCAGUGCAGCAGAGAUUCAAGGGAUAUGUAAAAGGUGUAUCCAAAACUCAUCCUAAAAUUCCAUUUUAACAGGCAUAUUUCCUGGGACUGCUGCAGGUACCAGUUAUUUUAUAGUCAAUAUUUAAUCAAGAGACAGAAAACAUAGUAAUUUCAACUAAGAAAGUUUAGCAUAAAGUUUUUAACUAUAAUAGACUGCAGUAACUAUAGCAAAUUCCAC
ensembl:lincRNA